rnacentral:rRNA from 1 species
CAAUAGCGUAUAUUAAAGUUGUUGCGGUAAAAAAGCUCGUAGUUGGAUUUCUGUUGAGGGCGACCGGUCCAUACCACGUAUGCGCAUCUGGCUCGGCCUCGGCAUCCUCUCGAUAGACGUUUCUGCGCUUGAUUGCGUGGUGCGGAUUUCGGGACUUUUACUUUGAGGAAAUUAGAGUGUUCACGGCAGGCUAUCGCCAGAAUACGUUAGCAUGGAAUAAUACUAUAGGAUCUCGGUUCUAUUUUGUUGGUUUCUAGAAGCGAGGUAAUGAUUAAUAGGGACAAUUGGGGGCAUUUGUAUCAACACGUCAGAGGUGGAAUUCUUGGAUUGUGUUGCGACAAACUACUGCGAAAGCAUUUGCCAAGGAUGUUUUCAUUGA